rnacentral:tRNA from 1 species
UAAUUAAUUUUUUUUAGUUUUGAAAACUAAUUUAAGUAUAUUUCUUGUUAAUUAA